GUGCAGUGAUGUAUUUGUCAACAUGCUGUUCUGAAGGAAAAUAUGUGGUGACUUAUUAGGACUCAGCACA